CGCUGGCGGCAUGCCUAACACAUGCAAGUCAACUUGACUGAAGGAGCAAUCUGACAGUAGAGUGGCGCAAGGGUGCGUAACGCGUAAGUAACUUGCCCAAGGUAAGGAAUAACGUCGAGAAAUCGGCGCUAAUACCUCAUAAUGCAGCGGAUCCGCAUGGAUAUGUUGUUAAAGGUUUACCGCCUUGGGAUAGGCUUGCGUCUGAUUAGCUAGUUGGUGUGGUAACGGCACACCAAGGCUACGAUCAGUAACUGGUCUGAGAGGAUGAUCAGUCACACUGGAACUGAGACACGGUCCAGACUCCUACGGGAGGCAGCAGUGAGGAAUAUUGGGCAAUGCUCGAAAGAGUGACCCAGCAACGCCGCGUGGAGGAUGAAGGUAUUCUAUAUCGUAAACUCCUGUGAGAGCAGACGAAAGACAGAUUAUUAAUCUGGAUGACUGUAUGCUCAGAGGAAGCCCCGGCUAACUACGUG
rnacentral:rRNA from 1 species